UACGGGGGGGGCAAGCGUUGUUCGGAAUUACUGGGCGUAAAGGGCUCGUAGGCGGCCAACUAAGUCAUACGUGAAAUCCCUCGGCUUAACCGGGGAACUGCGUCUGAUACUGGAUGGCUUGAGUUCGGGAGAGGGAUGCGGAAUUCCAGGUGUAGCGGUGAAAUGCGUAGAUAUCUGGAGGAACACCGGUGGCGAAGGCGGCAUCCUGGACCGAUACUGACGCUGAGGAGCGAAAGCCAGGGGAGCAAACAGG
rnacentral:rRNA from 1 species